rnacentral:lncRNA from 1 species
GAGUUUGGAGGGUGCCGGUCAACGAAGCCACGCGAGGUAUUUGAAAGGCAAUCAGCCCGACCGUCCCCCUAGAUUCAUCGUUUUGCGAGGUGGCUGUGACCGCUGUCGACAAGUGCUUUCUCAGCCGCAACCCAGCUGAAAGAGUUAAGGGGCCCGGGAGGAGGAGUGCGCCCGGUAGGCGGGAGAAGAGGGGGUGGUGUGGUGUGUGUGUGUUGGGGGGGGGGGGGACGACGCGGCCAAGCGGAAACGCCGCACAGAGGAACCUCAGCGAACCAAGAAAAAAGAGAAAGUGGCAACGAAAACAAGGACAAAUUAAAUCCUCCUUGGGGAUUUCCAAUGAACUAACCCAAUUCGGACAUUCAAUAAAUACACGACUCUUAAUGAGUGUGCGUGUGCUUGCACCCCGCACCCUCAGCUGCAGGGCACCGGACCGCAAUCUGCAGUUUCUAGUCCAAGCAGCAGCCGAGAACGUAACCCGGCGGUCGGUGUGCUCCGAAUAUAAAGAACUGGCCUGCCUUCUCCCCGAUGCAUAAUUUCUCUAGAGGGCUCACUUCUGUGAACUCAGUUACAGAGGGAGCUCUCCAGCUCAGCAGCAGCCUCGCAGCCUCUGCGUGAUCUCGAGAUUAACCGUAGACGCGGGGCAUUUAUGUAGGAUCGGGUCCAGCUCCUGCUUGCCGGGGUGAAAAGAUACCAUCGUAGAAACAGAUCUAAAAGGCAGCAGUAACCAAAGCCCCAAAACAGAACGGAUUCCCCCCUCCAUUCCAAAAGGUUCCUUUUUAUAUUUAUAUAUGCGUAUAUGUAUAUAUAAAAGAUGGAACACAGAUUUCAUUGAAUAAAUCUGAGAUCUCCAGGUGCAGACGUUUGAAUAGUCGGUGCCAGCACCCCGUGUUUUCCUUUCCUGCCGAUUUUGCUUGGAUCCGGCUCAAAAACCGAAAGAGUCUCGUGGUUUUGUUUACACUGAAUGGGGAGGAUAGGAACAGAGCCAUGGGGCCGCCUUUCAUUAAUAUACAGUGAGGAUUUUGUCUAAAUUACUGCUAUGAGUUUCACAGUACACGCUUUCAAAAGCCGUCUCAGGUGGCCUGAUGAAACGGGAUAGCGCCUCAGCAAACAGAUCCACUUUCUUUCUUUGCAAGGAGGGUGUGCACGUUCGGGAAGCCCCCCAAACGCUGUGCUCCUCAAUAACAGAAACGCACUUCUGUUCCCAGGUCUGUCCCCUUCUCUCCCCCCACCCCCCACGUACUUAGUUCUCAAAUCGCUCCCCAGCUUCCCCCCUCCCACCCCACCCAAUCCUCCCCCUCCCUCUGCGGAGUGUGAUUGUUUUGUCUGGAAAAAAAAAUCCAAAGUAUAUAACAAGGGGAGAACAGUUAGUGCUGAUUUUCAUUUGCAUACAUUUUCAUAUAUUUUGGUGAAAAUAAUAGACGAGAGAGAACCGGGCUUAGAGGAGUCAGUGUAAAGAGAAGGCUAAGGAUAACUCGGCUCUGGAGAGUAGAGAAUAUGCCUUCUCUUCUGCCCCUCCAGGAACCUUACUUUUUUUUUUUUAAAC